ACGCCAGGCUCUCCGACUGCUUCUCCUCUUUCCCUCUGGCCCAUUCAGGGCCUGCUCAGAGGCUAACAGCGUGCUGAAUUGAAACAAUUACCUAAAAACAUUGCCAGAAAUUAGAACAACGGGCGGGCGGAAGCUCUGAGCCCCCGUUUCCCCAAAGGCAACCUCUCAAGCCAUGCUUUUGUGGCUCUCCGUAUCUUAGGAAGUGUGCUGUUGAAGGAAAGAAGAAAGUCAUGCAUACGGAGAAAACUGGGUAGAAUUUGCUUGAAACAAAAAUCCAGAGGCAUUGACGCCGGGAAGCCCUUCCUCAAUCUGGACAGCAGGUGGCGCAAGUGACCAAGAUUUCUUCAACCACCGCCGAAGGAAGCCCCAAGCUUUUCGCGGUGGAGGCGGCGGACCGCCGGGACGGUGCCUGCCACACAGUAGGUGGUCAAAACCCGGCCGAGGGAAGGAACUGCAAUGGAACCUCUGCAGGCUUGAGUUUUCUCUUCUGAAUAACGAGAAUGACAGCUCCAACGGGACGCUUGGAGGUCAGGACGAACGAAAGGAACCUAAGAAGCUUGGAUGGGAAAGCCUCCUAUUAAUAGUGGUGCUGGCCAGAGUGCACGCAUCUGGACCCAACUUAAUUUUCAAAUGUGGACUCCUAGGCUUUCACUGGUAAGUUUGUUUGAUGCCUUCUUACCAAAUUAUGCUGUUGAGGAUUGCUAUUUGGAAUAAAGGGCAAGAAAGUUAUCAUUGGCACAGCUCUGUGGAGAUUACCAAGUCUAGACUCUAGAGAAGCCUGUAGUAUAGGCAGAAGGGAGCCACAAGAGAAGUGAAAUUUCACUGUAGGUUUAUGAAGUAGAUGCCAAGAGGAGGAGGUCAGAGGAGGGGCAUCCAGAGAGUUUAGGGGUAGACACACCCAGGCUCAUGGCAGGGCAAGCUGUGGCUGUGUUUUGAAGGAAAAAUCCAGAGAAGAGUGAAAUAAGAUUUUUGGGUUUGAGAAAGCAAGUAUUUAAAGAUAUAGAGAGGGGCACCUGGGUGACUCAUUCGGUUAAACAUCCGACUUCAGCUCAGGUCAUGAUCUCACGGUUUGUGGGUUUGAGCCCCGCAUCGGGCUCUGUGCUGACAGCUCAGAGCCUGGAGCCUGCUUCAGAUUCUGUGUCUCCCUCUCUCUCUGACCCUCCCCCACUCAUGCUC
rnacentral:lncRNA from 1 species